GGAAUUGACGGGACCGCACAAGCGGUGGAUGAUGUGGUUAAUUCGAUGCAACGCGAAAACCUUACCACCUUUGACAUGUACGGAAUCCUUUAGAGAUAGAGGAGUGCUCGAAAGAGAGCCGUAACACAGGUGCUGCAUGGCUGUCGUCAGCUCGUGUCGUGAGAUGUUGGGUUAAGUCCCGCAACGAGCGCAACCCUUGUCAUUAGUUGCUACAUUCAGUUGGGCACUCUAAUGAGACUGCCGGUGACAAGCCGGAGGAAGGUGGGGAUGACGUCAAGUCCUCAUGGCCCUUAUAGGUGGGGCUACACACGUCAUACAAUGGCUGGUACAAAGGGUUGCCAACCCGCGAGGGGGAGCCAAUCCCAUAAAGCCAGUCGUAGUCCGGAUCGUAGUCUGCAACUCGACUACGUGAAGUCGGAAUCGCUAGUAAUCGUGGAUCAGAAUGUCACGGUGAAUACGUUCCCGGGUCUU
rnacentral:rRNA from 1 species